UCAUCCGCAAGGUCGUAGCUCCCAUAUUAGCUGAGAUCUCGCAUUUUUGUAGCCCAUUUUUGGGCUCAAAAACGGGGUCGAAAAUUGACUUUUUUACGAAUUUUCAAAGUGCUAUAAUUCCACUUGUUCUGGUCGAAUUCCGUUAUAAUCCGGUGUUUUCGUAAUUUAGGUGAUGGGAAUAAGCCACUGAUAGGGAUUUCUAUAGCUAAUUUCGGGUUUAAAGAAAAUCGAUUUUUCGCAUUUUCAAAGUGCUGUAAUUCCCUUAGUUUUUCUCGAAACUCAUUAUAACCCGGUGUUUUCGUGUUGUAGGUGAUGGCAACAAGCCGCUGGUAUAGUUAGUUCAAAUUCGAAAAAAAUCAAUUUUUGGUGAAAAAUUUGAUACGGGGGGGUAUACCCUUAAAAUGAAAAAUCCCAAACUUUGGAGGCCCAUAUCUCGGCUUCUAUGGGCACUAUCGGGAAAAUUCCAACGGUUUUGACUUAGUUUCGUCCUUCUGAAUCCAACGAGACCAUCCACAAGGUCGUAGCUCUUAUAUUAGCUGAGAUCUCGCAUUUUUGUAGCCCAUUUUUGGGCUCAAAAACGGGGUCGAAAAUUGACUUUUUUACGAAUUUUCAAAGUGCUAUAAUUCCACUUGUUCUGGUCGAAUUCCGUUAUAAUCCGGUGUUUUCGUAAUGUAGGUGAUGGGAAUAAGCCGCUGAUAGGGAUUUCUAUAGCUAAUUUCGGGUUUAAAGAAAAUCGAUUUUUCGCAUUUUCAAAGUGCUGUAAUUCCCUUAGUUUUUCUCGAAACUCAUUAUAACCCGGUGUUUUCGUGUUGUAGGUGAUGGCAACAAGCCGCUGGUAUAGUUAGUUCAAAUUCGAAAAAAAUCAAUUUUUGGUGAAAAAUUUGAUACGGGGGGGUAUACCCUUAAAAUGAAAAAUCCCAAACUUUGGAGGCCCAUAUCUCGGCUUCUAUGGGCACUAUCGGGAAAAUUCCAACGGUUUUGACUUAGUUUCGUCCUUCUGAAUCCAACGAGACCAUCCGCAAGGUCGUAGCUCUUAUAUUAGCUGAGAUCUCGCAUUUUUGUAGCCCAUUUUUGGGCUCAAAAACGGGGUCGAAAAUUGACUUUUUUACGAAUUUUCAAAGUGCUAUAAUUCCACUUGUUCUGGUCGAAUUCCGUUAUAAUCCGGUGUUUUCGUAAUGUAGGUGAUGGGAAUAAGCCGCUGAUAGGGAUUUCUAUAGCUAAUUUCGGGUUUAAAGAAAAUCGAUUUUUCGCAUUUUCAAAGUGCUGUAAUUCCCUUAGUUUUUCUCGAAACUCAUUAUAACCCGGUGUUUUCGUGUUGUAGGUGAUGGCAACAAGCCGCUGGUAUAGUUAGUUCAAAUUCGAAAAAAAUCAAUUUUUGGUGAAAAAUUUGAUACGGGGGGGUAUACCCUUAAAAUGAAAAAUCCCAAACUUUGGAGGCCCAUAUCUCGGCUUCUAUGGGCACUAUCGGGAAAAUUCCAACGGUUUUGACUUAGUUUCGUCCUUCUGAAUCCAACGAGACCAUCCACAAGGUCGUAGCUCUUAUAUUAGCUGAGAUCUCGCAUUUUUGUAGCCCAUUUUUGGGCUCAAAAACGGGGUCGAAAAUUGACUUUUUUACGAAUUUUCAAAGUGCUAUAAUUCCACUUGUUCUGGUCGAAUUCCGUUAUAAUCCGGUGUUUUCGUAAUGUAGGUGAUGGGAAUAAGCCGCUGAUAGGGAUUUCUAUAGCUAAUUUCGGGUUUAAAGAAAAUCGAUUUUUCGCAUUUUCAAAGUGCUGUAAUUCCCUUAGUUUUUCUCGAAACUCAUUAUAACCCGGUGUUUUCGUGUUGUAGGUGAUGGCAACAAGCCGCUGGUAUAGUUAGUUCAAAUUCGAAAAAAAUCAAUUUUUGGUGAAAAAUUUGAUACGGGGGGGUAUACCCUUAAAAUGAAAAAUCCCAAACUUUGGAGGCCCAUAUCUCGGCUUCUAUGGGCACUAUCGGGAAAAUUCCAACGGUUUUGACUUAGUUUCGUCCUUCUGAAUCCAACGAGACCAUCCACAAGGUCGUAGCUCUUAUAUUAGCUGAGAUCUCGCAUUUUUGUAGCCCAUUUUUGGGCUCAAAAACGGGGUCGAAAAUUGACUUUUUUACGAAUUUUCAAAGUGCUAUAAUUCCACUUGUUCUGGUCGAAUUCCGUUAUAAUCCGGUGUUUUCGUAAUUUAGGUGAUGGGAAUAAGCCACUGAUAGGGAUUUCUAUAGCUAAUUUCGGGUUUAAAGAAAAUCGAUUUUUCGCAUUUUCAAAGUGCUGUAAUUCCCUUAGUUUUUCUCGAAACUCAUUAUAACCCGGUGUUUUCGUGUUGUAGGUGAUGGCAACAAGCCGCUGGUAUAGUUAGUUCAAAUUCGAAAAAAAUCAAUUUUUGGUGAAAAAUUUGAUACGGGGGGGUAUACCCUUAAAAUGAAAAAUCCCAAACUUUGGAGGCCCAUAUCUCGGCUUCUAUGGGCACUAUCGGGAAAAUUCCAACGGUUUUGACUUAGUUUCGUCCUUCUGAAUCCAACGAGACCAUCCGCAAGGUCGUAGCUCCCAUAUUAGCUGAGAUCUCGCAUUUUUGUAGCCCAUUUUUGGGCUCAAAAACGGGGUCGAAAAUUGACUUUUUUACGAAUUUUCAAAGUGCUAUAAUUCCACUUGUUCUGGUCGAAUUCCGUCAUAAUCCGGUGUUUUCGUAAUUUAGGUGAUGGGAAUAAGCCACUGAUAGGGGUUUCUAUAGCUAAUUUCGGGUUUAAAGAAAAUCGAUUUUUCGCAUUUUCAAAGUGCUAUAAUUCCCUUAGUUUUUCUCGAAACUCAUUAUAACCCGGUGUUUUCGUGUUGUAGGUGAUGGGAACAAGCCGCUGGUAUAGUUAGUUCAAAUUCGAAAAAAAUCAAUUUUUGGUGAAAAAUUCGAUACGGGGGGGUAUACCCUUAAAAUGAAAAAUCCCAAACUUUGGAGGUCCAUAUCUCGGCUUCUAUGGGCACUAUCGGGAAAAUUCCAACGGUUUUGACUUAGUUUCGUCCUUCUGAAUCCAACGAGACCAUCCGCAAGGUCGUAGCUCUUAUAUUAGCUGAGAUCUCGCAUUUUUGUAGCCCAUUUUUGGGCUCAAAAACGGGGUCGAAAAUUGACUUUUUUACGAAUUUUCAAAGUGCUAUAAUUCCACUUGUUCUGGUCGAAUUCCGUCAUAAUCCGGUGUUUUCGUAAUUUAGGUGAUGGGAAUAAGCCACUGAUAGGGGUUUCUAUAGCUAAUUUCGGGUUUAAAGAAAAUCGAUUUUUCGCAUUUUCAAAGUGCUAUAAUUCCCUUAGUUUUUCUCAAAACUCAUUAUAACCCGGUGUUUUCGUGUUGUAGGUGAUGGGAACAAGCCGCUGGUAUAGUUAGUUCAAAUUCGAAAAAAAUCAAUUUUUGGUGAAAAAUUCGAUACGGGGGGGUAUACCCUUAAAAUGAAAAAUCCCAAACUUUGGAGGUCCAUAUCUCGGCUUCUAUGGGCACUAUCGGGAAAAUUCCAACGGUUUUGACUUAGUUUCGUCCUUCUGAAUCCAACGAGACCAUCCGCAAGGUCGUAGCUCUUAUAUUAGCUGAGAUCUCGCAUUUUUGUGGCCCAUUUUUGGGCUCAAAAACGGGGUCGAAAAUUGACUUUUUUACGAAUUUUCAAAGUGCUAUAAUUCCACUUGUUCUGGUCGAAUUCCGUCAUAAUCCGGUGUUUUCGUAAUUUAGGUGAUGGGAAUAAGCCACUGAUAGGGGUUUCUAUAGCUAAUUUCGGGUUUAAAGAAAAUCGAUUUUUCGCAUUUUCAAAGUGCUAUAAUUCCCUUAGUUUUUCUCGAAACUCAUUAUAACCCGGUGUUUUCGUGUUGUAGGUGAUGGGAACAAGCCGCUGGUAUAGUUAGUUCAAAUUCGAAAAAAAUCAAUUUUUGGUGAAAAAUUCGAUACGGGGGGGUAUACCCUUAAAAUGAAAAAUCCCAAACUUUGGAGGUCCAUAUCUCGGCUUCUAUGGGCACUAUCGGGAAAAUUCCAACGGUUUUGACUUAGUUUCGUCCUUCUGAAUCCAACGAGACCAUCCGCAAGGUCGUAGCUCUUAUAUUAGCUGAGAUCUCGCAUUUUUGUAGCCCAUUUUUGGGCUCAAAAACGGGGUCGAAAAUUGACUUUUUUACGAAUUUUCAAAGUGCUAUAAUUCCACUUGUUCUGGUCGAAUUCCGUCAUAAUCCGGUGUUUUCGUAAUUUAGGUGAUGGGAAUAAGCCACUGAUAGGGGUUUCUAUAGCUAAUUUCGGGUUUAAAGAAAAUCGAUUUUUCGCAUUUUCAAAGUGCUAUAAUUCCCUUAGUUUUUCUCGAAACUCAUUAUAACCCGGUGUUUUCGUGUUGUAGGUGAUGGGAAUAAGCCACUGAUAGGGGUUUCUAUAGCUAAUUUCGGGUUUAAAGAAAAUCGAUUUUUCGCAUUUUCAAAAUGCUGUAAUUCCCUUAGUUUUUCUCGAAACUCAUUAUAACCCGGUGUUUUCGUGUUGUAGGUGAUGGGAACAAGCCGCUGGUAUAGUUAGUUCAAAUUCGAAAAAAAUCAAUUUUUGGUGAAAAAUUCGAUACGGGGGGGUAUACCCUUAAAAUGAAAAAUCCCAAACUUUGGAGGUCCAUAUCUCGGCUUCUAUGGGCACUAUCGGGAAAAUUCCAACGGUUUUGACUUAGUUUCGUCCUUCUGAAUCCAACGAGACCAUCCGCAAGGUCGUAGCUC